UACGAAGGGGGCUAGCGUUGUUCGGAAUUACUGGGCGUAAAGCGCACGUAGGCGGCUCUUUAAGUCGGGGGUGAAAUCCUGGAGCUCAACUCCAGAACUGCCUUCGAUACUGUAGAGCUUGAGUUCGGGAGAGGUGAGUGGAACUGCGAGUGUAGAGGUGAAAUUCGUAGAUAUUCGCAAGAACACCAGUGGCGAAGGCGGCUCACUGGCCCGAUACUGACGCUGAGGCACGAAAGCGUGGGGAGCAAACAGG
rnacentral:rRNA from 1 species